rnacentral:lncRNA from 1 species
GGGAGCUUCUAGGUCUAAUGCUGUUCCUCUGCUUUUGAGCUGAAUUUCUGCAUGGCAGCCUUUCUCGAAUGCAGUAGGGCUUCCCUGGCUUGAAGAUGGGUGUGCUGUCCUGAGGGAGGAGCAGUGUUGACUGUCUUACAGUGACCUUCUGCUUUCCUUUAAGAAGAGUCCACUAAGAACUGUAUUGGGUUUUUCAGUAGGUAACUCAGGAGAGGGCUUCUCGGUGAAAUCCUUUGUGUUGAAUUGCAGUAAGUUGAGUAUGUGAACCUUCCUCCCAAACUGAGACCGAACGCCAGCAAAAAUGCCAAAUAUGUUGUCCUGUUUCCCUUUAUAACAAAAGAUGUGGUACUUUGCUGGGGUUGCGCCUUUGUGUUCAAUGUUUGUAUGCAGUAUAUUGUAUCCUCAUGUGGGAGUCUGCCAUUAUUA